CACUACAUAUUCACACUUUAGUUAGUUUCUAUCUUCUAUUUCAUUUAAUUAUGUAUUUAAUUUUGGUUAUAUUUUUGUGCAGGAGAAAUUUAUAUGGGAGAAGACUCAUGAUGUCACGAUUAAGAAGAUCUUCGACCAUCACAUGGCUAGGCAGAUUCAGCAGAUGCUUUAUUUAGGACGUAUGUGAGAGGAUCAACCAACUUAUUCAGUGGCUUCGCCUAGACAUUAAGAAAGCCCUCUGCAUAUAUUGGAAAACUGAUAAAGGGUUCAGGCGUUGCCGAGCCACAAAUAAGGCUAACAGGGCAUCGGUCAGGUCGCCAAGUAUACUGGCGGGUCAGUAACUUUCAUGAAGACAAAGUCUAAAUCGUUGGAUCGGAGGUGACGAUGGUAGAGACCUUCAAGUACACUCACACUUUGAAGGAGAACAAGGAGAGAUUUGUUCGAUCAGUGGUCUGAAAAUUAUUAUAAUCCUACACGCAGAGGUUGGAGGCCGUAAUCCAACAAUCUCAACAAAUUGGGAGAGAACGGCAACAACUCCUCUACUUCCGUUGUCGAUCUGGAUGCAGUGUGGCCCGAAAUCGCAUCUAAGUCAUGCAAAAAUCGUGUCUACGAGUUGUGGUUGUUUUUCACCAGUAACCUCUGCACCUCUACCUUGAGGAUUUUGUCCACCUCAACUACCAGCCCUGCUGAUCUCGAGAUCAUCGAUUUAUCGAAGUAGGUUCACAACCUCACUCAGAGCCUUCAGGAUCAAGGUAACCAGCUGCAUCUGUCUGAGGAGAGGUAUAAAGAGAUCCUCAUAUGCAUAAGCAAAGGAUUCUCGCAAUGCAAAGAUAGAGUUCCUGAGACAGGAGCUAGAGCAAAUUCAGUAGAUGCGACGAUAGAUAGUGGUGUACUAUGAGCACAUGCAUAAUGGUGGCAGCGACACUGCUGGAGGGGGCUCAUCUUCCUGUACACAGGAGCUAGAAAAAAAACAAUACCACCACUUAGACUGCCACCUUAGUAAGACUAGGAGAAUGACGAUGACAACGAUUACCAAGACCUGUAGUCAUUAGUGUUUUGUUUUGAUUUGUUU